rnacentral:lncRNA from 1 species
AUGGCUACGACAUCUAGCACUUUUCAUCUUCGUAUGAGAGGCAGUAUGCACCAACAGUGAGCUUAUGCCUGCAGCAUCUUGCGCUCUCGAUGGCCUUUUGAGGGUCUAAUUAGUUAUCCCUCUGGAGGUUUUCUAAGGAUCUCCCCCCACUUCUCGAACGACUCAGACUCUGUAGAGGUCUCGUAAGUUAGCCCCACCUCGGAGUCAUCACGAUCUUCUCGAGAGUCUGAUAAGUUAGCCCUCACGAGUGACAUUGUGUGCUUGUGGAAAUCUUGUGCCUGUGACAUCUAGCACUUCUUAUCUUCUCGAAUGACUUGAUCUCUGCAGGGAUCUUGUAAGUUAGCUCCGCCUCAGAGUCAUCAAGAUCUUCUUCGAGGAUCUGA